rnacentral:rRNA from 1 species
AUUGAACGCUGGCGGCAGGCCUAACACAUGCAAGUCGAACGGUAACAGGAAGCAGCUUGCUGCUUCGCUGACGAGUGGCGGACGGGUGAGUAAUGUCUGGGAAACUGCCUGAUGGAGGGGGAUAACUACUGGAAACGGUAGCUAAUACCGCAUAACGUCGCAAGACCAAAGAGGGGGACCUUAGGGACUCUUGUCAUCGGAUGUGCCCAGAUGGGAUUAGCUAGUAGGUGGGGUAACGGCUCACCUAGGCGACGAUCCCUAGCUGGUCUGAGAGGAUGACCAGCCACACUGGAACUGAGACACGGUCCAGACUCCUACGGGAGGCAGCAGUGGGGAAUAUUGCACAAUGGGCGCAAGCCUGAUGCAGCCAUGCCGCGUGUAUGAAGAAGGCCUUCGGGUUGUAAAGUACUUUCAGCGGGGAGGAAGGGAGUAAAGUUAAUACCUUUGCUCAUUGACGUUACCCGCAGAAGAAGCACCGGCUAACUCCGUG